AGGUAGUUAACUAUGGAGAUUGAGAAAAUAUACUUUGAAACUAAUUUGUCUCCUUUUUCUUUUGUUAAGGUUAGACAAAGUCCUUCCUGCUUUUUUGCUAAAGAGCUUACAGACUUCUUUAAUUUAGUAUUGCCUUCUUUUAAGGCUUUUGGAUUCUGGUUAAUUUGGGUACUAAGGAUUUUAAAGUUUUGGUUCCCUGUGACGAGUGCUGCAGUUUUUACUGCGGUUGCCCCGGCUGCUUCAAGCCCGAGGAGUACCGGCACUAACACUGGUUCUUCUCGCUUGACUCGUUGGAGGCUAGUUAGCUCGAGGUGCUUUCUACCUCCCUCGCCAGAGUAGUACAGAGGUACGGGAAUUAGCAUAAGGAGAAGUAGAUAGGGGGAAUUGAGGGGACUGGAAACAUGUUUCUUGUUCUAGAAAGUUACUUAAAGUUCUGAUACAUACAGGCGCAAUUUUUACAUUUGUUUUUUUCCCAACCACUGGGAAUUUUUUCAAAACUGCUGUGGUUUAAAAGUAACAGGGUUACAGCUUUUAAUUGCACAAUUUUUAGUAGGAGCUUCUGGCCUUUUAUUUUUUGUGACCCUUAACAGACAGUUUACAUUUUUUUUAUGGGGCUAUAGUUUUACAGCCCUAACUGUAACAGAAAUAAUUAUUUUUUUUCCUCACAUGCUGCUGAGGUACUUGUUAGUGGACAGAUAUAGUGCUGACUAUCCCAUAGUUCCUGUUCUAAGUUUAGGUUUCUACAGCCAAAGCCUCACAAUCCCGCACGUCUCCCACCUAGGUACAUAUUGACCGCUUCCGGUAAGUUCCAGUUUACCCCAAAGAGUUAGUAGUAGGGGUCCCUGUUCUCACGGCGUCAGGUUUCGGGUGGUGGGCACGGAUGGUGCAGUUGUUGUUUCUGGAGUUAUACUGCAAGGCCUGUAAGGACUUGAGAAGUUCAGAGUUAGUUAAAAGGGCGAGCUGUUUCUCCCCUAUUUUGGGGAGAAGUGGGGGUAGCCUGCUGAACAUGGCUUUAUAUGGGGUAAUACCUUUUACAUAAGGAGUGCAUUUAGCUUUGAACAAGGCAAACAGAAGGAGACUUACCCGGUUCCCGCCAGUCUCUAGUUUAAGUUUGGUGAGGGUUUUUAAGUGUUUGAUUUAUUCUUUCUACCUGCCUGAGCUUUGUGGUUUGUAAAUGCAGUGUAACUUCUAUUCAAUUCCUAAUGCUCUUGCCAAAUUUUGAGUAAUUUGGGCUACGAAAGCCGGACCAUUGUCAGACCCCAUUGCUAUUGGUGAGUAAAACCAAGGGAUAAUUUUGGCUAUUACUUUCUUAGCUAUUACUUGAGCUGACUCUGACCGAGUUGGGUAGGUUUUAACCCAUCCUGAGAAGGUGUCCACCAGCACAAGAACAAUGGUAAAGAAAAGGAUUGUGGGAAGAUGGUGGAGAAGGAAGCUCAGGGAAUCAGUCCCUCCACCCAAACAACUAUUGAACAAGCAACUACUGGACUGUCUGAAUCAACCACUUUGAAACUCUGGAAUCUCGGGUAACACUGCGCAGGAGGUGCUAGAGGAAAAGGCUGGUAACCUGUGACAAAGACCGGUAGAUGGAAUGUACAGGUGCUCUGAGGCUGGACAGAUCUGGGUUGGCAUCACGCACGGUCACUUUCACAUGAUGGGAUGUGAAAAAGGGAAGGAGUUACACGGAGCUCAUGGAAUUCCUGCGAGGACUUAAUGAGAUGAUGUUUCUAAUGUGCCUGAUGAGUGACGGCACUAAAAAUGAACAACUACGAAUAUUAUGAUAGCUUUAAAAUAACUGUUCAAAA